rnacentral:misc_RNA from 1 species
AGUUCUCAACCCGCAUCCUUUUUGAAGGGAUGUGGAUUUGGAUUAUGGAGUUUGCAGGCUUGAUUGAAAGGUCUGCUCCUCUGAAACGUAUUAGUGGCAAUGUGGAAAAGCUACUGUGGGUGUGAUAACUAUCUAUGCCUAUGCAGUGCUCUGCUGUGUGCCGCUUUGGAGGGAGAAAUUUAUUUCUGACAA